rnacentral:rRNA from 1 species
ACUCCUACGGGAGGCAGCAGUGGGGAAUAUUCCACAAUGGGCGCAAGCCUGAUCGAGCGACGCCGCGUGAGUGAUGAAGGCCUUAGGGUUGUAAAGCUCUGUUGCAAGCGGACAACACAUACGAGAGGGAAUGCUCGUACCUUGACGGUACAUUACGACCAAGCCACGGCUAACUACGUGCCAGCAGCCGCGGUAAU